UCCGUAGGUGAACCUGCGGAAGGAUCAUUAUUGAAAUAAACCUGAUGGGUUGUUGCUGGUUCUCUAGGGAGCAUGUGCACACCUUGUCAUCUUUAUAUCUCCACCUGUGCACCUUUUGUAGACCUUUCAGGUCUAUGUUGCUUCAUUUACCCCAAUGUAUGUUAAUAGAAUGUUGUGCCUAUUAUAAUAUAUACAACUUUCAGCAACGGAUCUCUUGGCUCUCGCAUCGAUGAAGAACGCAGCGAAAUGCGAUAAGUAAUGUGAAUUGCAGAAUUCAGUGAAUCAUCGAAUCUUUGAACGCACCUUGCGCUCCUUGGUAUUCCGAGGAGCAUGCCUGUUUGAGUGUCAUUAAUAUAUCAACCUUCUCUUGUUGAGUGGUUUGGAUGUGGGGGUUUGCUGGCCUCUUAAAAGGUUUUUAGCUCUCCUGAAAUGCAUUAGCAGAACAACCCUGUUCAUUGGUGUGAUAACUGUCUACGCUAUUGAAUGUGAAGGGCAGUUUGGCUUUCUAACAGUCCUUGGACAGCUCAUCAUUAAUGUGACCUCAAAUCAGGUAGGACUACCCGCUGAACUUAAGCAUAUCAAUAAGCGGAGGA
rnacentral:rRNA from 1 species